UGGGGAAUAUUGCACAAUGGAGGGAACUCUGAUGCAGCGACGCCGCGUGAACGAAGAAGGCUUUCGAGUCGUAAAGUUCUUUUAUAUGGGAAGAUAAUGACGGUACCAUAAGAAAAAGCCCCGGCUAACUACGUGCCAGCAGCCGCGGUAAUACGUAGGGGGCUAGCGUUGUCCGGAACCACUGGGCGUAAAGGGUUCGCAGGCGGAAAUGCAAGUCAGGUGUAAAAGGCAGUAGCUUAACUACUGUAAGCAUUUGAAACUGCAUAUCUUGAGAAGAGUAGAGGUAAGUGGAAUUUUUAGUGUAGCGGUGAAAUGCGUAGAUAUUAAAAAGAAUACCGGUGGCGAAGGCGACUUACUGGGCUCAUUCUGACGCUGAGGAACGAAAGCGUGGGUAGCAAACAGG
rnacentral:rRNA from 1 species